rnacentral:rRNA from 1 species
GGCGAACGCUGGCGGCGUGCUUAACACAUGCAAGUCGAACGGAAAGGCCCUGCUUUUGUGGGGUGCUCGAGUGGCGAACGGGUGAGUAACACGUGAGUAACCUGCCCUUGACUUUGGGAUAACUUCAGGAAACUGGGGCUAAUACCGGAUAGGAGCUCCUGCUGCAUGGUGGGGGUUGGAAAGUUUCGGCGGUUGGGGAUGGACUCGCGGCUUAUCAGCCUGUUGGUGGGGUAGUGGCUUACCAAGGCUUUGACGGGUAGCCGGCCUGAGAGGGUGACCGGCCACAUUGGGACUGAGAGACGGCCCAGACUCCUACGGGAGGCAGCAGUGGGGAAUAUUGCACAAUGGGCGGAAGCCUGAUGCAGCAACGCCGCGUGCGGGAUGACGGCCUUCGGGUUGUAAACCGCUUUCGCCUGUGACGAAGCGUGAGUGACGGUAAUGGGUAAAGAAGCACCGGCUAACUACGUG